rnacentral:rRNA from 1 species
UACAGAGGUCUCAAGCGUUGUUCGGAUUCAUUGGGCGUAAAGGGUGCGUAGGUGGCGAGGUAAGUCGGAUGUGAAAUCCCGGGGCUCAACCCCGGAACUGCAUUCGAUACUGCCUUGCUAGAGUACUGGAGAGGAGAUCGGAAUUUACGGUGUAGCAGUGAAAUGCGUAGAUAUCGUAAGGAAGACCAGUGGCGAAGGCGGAUCUCUGGACAGUUACUGACACUGAGGCACGAAGGCCAGGGGAGCAAACGGG